ACCACUGCUCCUCUGCGCAUGUCAUUGCCGGUCUCCUAGCGACGGUUUGUACACUGUGCAGUUGCUGGUCCCAUUGAAGAUUCGCCUCUAAACAAUAAGUCAUGGCCAAGGAAACUGAGGACUUCUCGCAACUCGAACUGGAAUCCAUCAUUGGUUUUAACGGGAAAGUACCUUCUGGCUUAACUGUACAUCCUGAUUGUGAAAAUAUAAUUUAUCCUCUGGGAUGUACAGCUGUUGUACAAAAUCUGAAGACUAGCCAACAGGCUUUCCUGGAAAGCCAUACCAACAACAUCUCCUUUCUUGCCGUUAGUAGGAGUGGAAGAUAUAUUGCAACAGGACAGGUCACUUAUAUGGGUUUUAAGGCCGAUAUCAUCAUCUAUGACUAUGUUGAAAAAAUAACUCAUGCAACCAUGACACUUCACCAAGCCAAAGUUGAAGCAUUGGCAUUUUCCCCAAAUGAUCUCUAUUUGGUGUCUCUUGGCGGUCAGGAUGAUGGCAGUGUUGUCAUUUGGAAUAUUGCAACAAAGUCAUCUAUCUGUGGCAGUCCUGCUUGCGUUCCCACUGCAGGAAAUGCAUUUAGUGUAAGAUUUGCUAACAAUAUGGAUGAUACCUUCAUUACAGGAGGAACUGGUACACUACGUCUCUGGCUCUUAGAUUUACCCAACAGAAAAAUCCGUCCCACGGAAUGUCAAACUGGACCUUUGAAAAGAAUGAUCAACUGUAUUGAGGUAGCAAAAGAUGAUAGUUUCUUCUAUUGUGGAACUACUUCUGGUGAUAUUUUGAUGAUCAGCAUGAAAACUGGACUUCUGAAUAAUUAUGGACCAAUAAAGAAUAAGUUCAGUUUGGGUGUCACUGCAAUAGUGGAGCUAAAAUCAGAGGACGUCCUUGUUGGAACGGGAGAUGGUCUUAUAGUUCUGUGCAAAGCACCACACUUCAAGGCACUCAAAAAAGUGCAGGUGGAUGGUGGUAUCACUUCAAUUAGCCUUCGUGGUCAAGGACACCAGUUCUUUCUUGGGACCAUUACUUCCCAGAUAUACCGAUUUAAUUUCACUGAAUUUAAAGAGGAUUUGAUCACCACAUGUCACUGUGAUGCUGUUCUUGAUAUAGCAUUUCCCUGUGGAACCUCAGACUUGUUUGGAACAUGCUCUAAGGCUGAAAUACGAAUCUGGCAUACACCCACCAAUAAAGAACUCUUGCGAAUCUCUGUGCCAAACAUGACUUGCAAUGCCAUUGAAUUUAUGCGUGAUGGGAAAAGUAUUAUCAGUGCUUGGAAUGAUGGGAAGAUUCGUGCUUUUACACCAGAGACUGGCAGAUUAAUGUAUACAAUCAAUAAUGCUCAUCAUGAUGGUGUCACUGCGAUUGCUGCCACUAGUGACUGCAAGAAAAUAAUCAGUGGAGGUGGUGAAGGACAGAUUCGGAUAUGGGAAAUUUUUCCAAAAAGCCAAAAGUUUACUGCAGGUCUGAAGGAGCACACAUCAACUGUGUCAUGUAUUAAAAUUAAGAAAAAUGACCAAGAAUGUGUAACAGCAAGUUAUGAUGGUACCUGCAUCAUCUGGGAUAUAAUACGCUAUGCAAGAAAUCAAAUGAUUUUGGCAAACACCCUUUUUAAAUGUGUUUGUUACCAUCCUGAGGAAUAUCAAGUAAUAACCAGUGGAAAAGACAGGAAGAUCGGCUAUUGGGAAGUAUAUGAUGGAUCAGCUAUCAGAGAACUGGAUGGGUCCUUAUCUGGUUCUGUUAAUGGAAUGGACAUUACAAUGAAUGGUGACUUCUUUGUUACAGGAGGCGAAGAUAAAUUGAUCAAAUUUUGGGGAUACAAUGAAGGUGAAGUUAUAUAUAUUGGAAUAGGUCACAGUGGAACAGUCAAUCGUAUUAAGAUCUCUCCCUCUGUGAAACACAUUAUCAGUGUGAGUUCAGAUGGAGCUAUUCUGCGAUGGAAAUAUCCUUACACAAACUAAUCCUUAUAUGCACACUUUAUUGACACACGACAGUAUUGCUUUAAAAUUACACCUUUGACUUAAAGUUUCAGGCAGUCAGUGGUGAAUUUUCAUGAUAUCUGCUUUGGAUUUCAUAGAAAUAGACCUCCAUAUUGUCCAUCCUGUUCUUAUGUUUCUCAAGUACCCUCUUGAGGAAUUAAUGAAAAUUCUGUCCCUUUAGUUUUUGAAUUUGAAGUUAAAUAAGUUGAAAGAAACCCUGUUCCCCAAAGGCGUAAUUAUAAAAAACUUGAAGUUUGAAUACAUUAAAUGUUUAAUGGUUCUGUGCAAAUUAAAGUUAAAUUAAUGUGUCUACUUCCAUAACUUUUAAUUGUACACUACUGUAAAAUUUGAUUUUAUGCUGUUAAGCAUUAUCUUUCUAGUAUCAUUUUUACAUGUUUCUAUUUCAAUGUACUUAUGAUAUUGAAUGAUAAAUGAUUUUUAAUUACAUUGUAAUUUUAUAGAAAGAAUAAAUUUGACAGAAUUGCAUCUAAUUAUCUUUAAGCAAUAAAGUUUUUUAAACUGAAUUAUAUACUAGUGGAAAAGGUUUUUCCGCAUACUACUUGUAUUAAAACUAAACCAGUUUUAAAGAAGGGACUUAUGACUUUCUUACACACAGUGCAGAAAGGAAGGUAUCCUUGCAGAGUUAUUGCCUUCUUACAAUCUUCACGAGAAUGGAGCAAAGCUUUGAAGAAAAUGGCUAAUAACCUAAUUUUUAAUGGACUAUCAGGCUGUAUUGAUUAGUGACCUGUAGAUGUCUAAUCCAUAAAAUGAUUUUGUACAUUCUUCUGCAAUUGUUGAACCACCUAUCCCAGGUGAACUGGAUGGACACAUAAUUCUGGAUGGAUAAUUGCACCAGCACUUAAAAAAAGCAGGAUAGCAACAUGCAAGGAACGGAAAAGAAAGAUAAAUGACCAGUUGCAAGAAUUGGAAUCUACAUAUAAACUCAACAUUGCAAUUUUUAGUAUAUUAUGACUUAACCAUGUCUGUUUUAGAACUAGGAACGGGGAACUGUGAAGUAAAGGCGCCUUUCGGACCAUGGAUCACAGCUGGUGUUAAAAGGAGAAAACAGACCAAACAAGGUUUUGUUUAUUUGUAAGGUCAUCCCUGAAAGUUUCUGCAGAUGCUUUGUAUCAGGGGAUAGCAUUCUGUUUAAACAGAUGGCAGAAGUUGGCUAUUAAUGAGGUUGGUAUCAGGAAAUUGGUUCCAGCAAGUCUGGAAAAGCCAUUAUGCUUAAGCAGAUAGCAGAUAUUGAAUGGUAGCUGGAACCUCUAGAAGAGACAGUCUGUCUGUCAUGAAGUGGUCAGAGUUUGAACUGGGUUUUGGACUAUAAUUUCUAUGAGAAGAAAUCUGGUUGCUGAUGAUAAAGCACAAAGAUUUGAAAUCUUUCUGCCUUGCCUCCUAUGAUCAGGCUGUGGAAACUCAAAAUAGAAAAACGAGUUAUAAAUAUAUUGCCUUCAUCUAAGUGAACUGUAAAUAUGACUCUGGAUGACAUCUUCAGAAAAUCAACCUAGAAACCAUCGUCUAUGCCGAUGGAACAACACAUCAUGAAAAUUAUUCAAGUAAUCUGGCCAGUUCUGUUUUUUUUGUUUAUCCCUUGACUGUUUGUUUUCUCUGUCAGUCUUUUGAGUGAAUGGGCUGGAAACAAAGGUUCUGUGCUUUAUAAUA